rnacentral:rRNA from 1 species
UACGAGAGGCCCAAACGUUAUUCGGAAUUACUGGGCUUAAAGAGUUCGUAGGCGGCAUUGCAAGUAGGGUGUGAAAGCCCUCGGCUCAACCGAGGAAUUGCGCUCUAAACUGCAGUGCUUGAGGAAGCUAGAGGUGAGCAGAACAGAUGGUGGAGCGGUGAAAUGCGUUGAUAUCAUCUGGAAUACCGGAGGCGAAGGCGGCUCACUGGGGCUUUCUGACGCUGAGGAACGGAAAGCCAGGGUAGCGAACGGG